GUGUCUUGGAGAAUACUGGCCUGAACUCAGGGUUCAUGGGGAUCAACUUGUGUCCUGGUGGGGCCGUAGCCGAGACACAGAUGCAGCCUGGAUCAAGAAGAGUCCCCUCCACUCCUAAUUUCCGCUACCUGAGAAGAGCUACAUCCAGGUGUGAAUAUUGGAAGAGGC